rnacentral:rRNA from 1 species
GACGAACGCUGGCGGCGUGCUUAACACAUGCAAGUCGAACGGAAAGACCCUGCUUUUGCGGGGUGCUCGAGUGGGGAACGGGUGAGUAACACGCGAGUAUCCUGCCCCUGACUUUGGGAUAACUUCAGGAAACUGGGGCUCAUACCGGGUAGAAGCUACUGCUGCAUGGGGGUGGAUGGAAAGUUUCGGCGGUUGGGGAUGGUAUCGAGGCUUAUCGGCUUGUUGGUGGGGUAGUGGCUUACCAAGGCUUUGACGGGUAGCCGGCCUGGGAGGGUGGCCGGCGUCAUGGGGCCUGAGAUACGGCCCAGACUCCUACGGUCGGCAGUAGUGGGGAAUAUUGCACAAUGGGCGGAAGCCUGAUGCAGCAACGCCGCGUGCGGGAUGACGUCCUUCGGGUUGUAAACCGCUUUGGCCUGUGACGAAGCGGGAGUGACGGUAAUGGGUAAAGAAGCACCGGCUAACUACGUG